UACGGAGGGUGCAAGCGUUAUCCGGAAUCACUGGGUUUAAAGGGUGCGUAGGCUGUUAGAUAAGUCAGUUGUGAAAUUCCCCGGCUUAACCGGGUGGACUGCGAAUGAUACUGUUUAACUUGAAUGAGGUUGAGGUAGGCGGAAUGUGGCAUGUAGCGGUGAAAUGCUUAGAUAUGCCAUAGAACACCGAUUGCGAAGGCAGCUUGCUGGGCCUUCAUUGACGCUGAGGCACGAAAGCGUGGGGAGCAAACAGG
rnacentral:rRNA from 1 species